UCGGACGUGGUGCACGAUGUACGCCUGCUUUUAAUGUUGUGUCUCGCGCGGUUGAUGCAGGAAGUCUGGGUUUGACUCCCAGCGUCCGAA